rnacentral:rRNA from 1 species
AUCGGUACGGGCAGUGAGAGCUGUAGCCCGGAGAUGGGGACUGAGACAAGGCCCCAGGCCCUACGGGGCGCAGCAGGCGCGAAACCUUCACAAUGCACGAAAGUGUGAUGAGGGUACUCCGAGUGCGCAUACAUUGUAUGUGCUUUUCUGUAGCGUAAAUAGUUGCAGGAAUAAGGGCUGGGCAAGACCGGUGCCAGCCGCCGCGGUAACACCGGCAGCCCUAGUGGUGGCCGCUUUUAUUGGGCCUAAAGCGUCCGUAGCCGGACAGGCAAGUCUUUGGGUAAAUCCUACGUCUUAAGCGUGGGAAUUCUAAAGAUACUACCUGUCUUGAGGCCGGGAGAGGCUGGAGGUACUCCUGGGGUAGGGGUAAAAUCCUAUAAUCCUGGGGGGACCACCGAUGGCGAAGGCAUCCAGCUGGAACGGGCCUGACGGUGAGGGACGAAACCCAGGGGAGCGAGCCGGAUUAGAUACCCGGGUAGUCCUGGGCGUAAAUGAUGUGGGCUUGGUGUGAGCGCAUCGACGAGGUGCGCUUGUGCCGUAGGGAAGCCGUUAAGCCCACCGCCUGGGGAGUACGGUCGCAAGGCUGAAACUC